GAGGGUUUAACUGUCUCCUGUAGCCAAUCAAUGAACUUGAUCUCACAGUACAAAUGCUGUGAUAUAACUAUAAGACGAGAAGACCCUGUGGAGCUUUAAACCUACCACAUUAACUAAUUAACCUAAACUACUAUUAGUAUAACUGUAAGUUUUAAGUUGGGGCGACUAUGGAGUAAAAAUUAACCUCCAUGCAAUACGAUUAAACCUCGUUAUAUACGGCUAACAAGCCUAGUCAAAAUACACGACCCAGUCAAACUGAUUAUCGGACCAAGUUACCCCAGGGAUAACAGCGCCAUCCCCUUAAAGAGUUCACAUCG
rnacentral:rRNA from 1 species